AGAGUUUGAUCCUGGCUCAGAUUGAACGCUGGCGGCAUGCCUUACACAUGCAAGUCGAACGGCAGCACGGGAGCAAUCCUGGUGGCGAGUGGCGAACGGGUGAGUAAUAUAUCGGAACGUGCCCAGUCGUGGGGGAUAACGCAGCGAAAGCUGUGCUAAUACCGCAUACGAUCUAUGGAUGAAAGCGGGGGAUCGCAAGACCUCGCGCGAUUGGAGCGGCCGAUAUCAGAUUAGGUAGUUGGUGGGGUAAAGGCCCACCAAGCCGACGAUCUGUAGCUGGUCUGAGAGGACGACCAGCCACACUGGAACUGAGACACGGUCCAGACUCCUACGGGAGGCAGCAGUGGGGAAUUUUGGACAAUGGGCGCAAGCCUGAUCCAGCAAUGCCGCGUGCAGGAUGAAGGCCUUCGGGUUGUAAACUGCUUUUGUACGGAACGAAACGGCGAGCUCUAAUAAAGCUUGCUAAUGACGGUACCGUAAGAAUAAGCACCGGCUAACUACGUGCCAGCAGCCGCGGUAAUACGUAGGGUGCAAGCGUUAAUCGGAAUUACUGGGCGUAAAGCGUGCGCAGGCGGUUAUAUAAGACAGAUGUGAAAUCCCCGGGCUCAACCUGGGACCUGCAUUUGUGACUGUAUAGCUAGAGUACGGCAGAGGGGGAUGGAAUUCCGCGUGUAGCAGUGAAAUGCGUAGAUAUGCGGAGGAACACCGAUGGCGAAGGCAAUCCCCUGGGCCUGUACUGACGCUCAUGCACGAAAGCGUGGGGAGCAAACAGGAUUAGAUACCCUGGUAGUC
rnacentral:rRNA from 1 species